GUGUACCCGGCUUCCCCCACCCUCCUGCCGUGCGCGGGUCGGGCCCGAGUUGCCUGUCGAUGCGAGGGGUUCCGCCCGCGGGACCGCCAGCGCACCACGGGGGUGCCGGCGGUGAGAUUCCCGCGCCGCGGUCCCCGGCGGGGGGCUGCCGGCCGCGGACCCGCAGCCGUCGCCCCGUGAGGGGGUGGGCCACGU